rnacentral:sRNA from 1 species
GGAUAAACAAGUUCGGAAGACUUCUUAGAGGGACAAGCGGUGUUCAGCCGCAUGAAGCUGAGCAAUAACAGGUCUGUGAUGCCCUUAGAUGUCCAGGGCUGCACGCGCGCUACACUGGAGGAAUCAGCGUGCUGUAACCAUUGCCGAAAGGUAUUGGUAACCCCUUGAAAAUCCUCCGUGAUCGGGAUCGGGAAUUGCAAUUAUUUCCCUUGAACGAGGAAUUCCUAGUAAGUGUGAGUCAUCAGCUCACGUUGAUUACGUCCCUGCCCUUUGUACACACCGCCCGUCGCUGCCCGGGACUGAGCCGUUUCGAGAAAAGCGGGGACUGCUGUUUCGAGACCUUUCGGGGUGGAGAUUCUUUGGUGGAAACCGCCUUAAUCGCAGUGGCUUGAACCGGGCAAAAGUCGUAACAAGGUUUCCGUAGGUGAACCUGCGGAAGGAUCAUUAUCGAGCGAAUCCAAAACGAACGAAAAAGUCUCCCAACGUGCAUACCUUCCAUUUGCAUGUUGUUGUGAGCCACAUGGAAACUCGUACACACGUGGUGGCAGCCGUCUGCUGUGCUUUUUUUAGGCAGACAAUGGCUUACGAGUGGCCGUGUGCUUGUUGAACAACGGUGACCAAUUUGGCGUCUACGCCGUAUCUAGCUUCUGCCUGGACCGUCAGUUGCGAUGAAAGAUGCGGAGAAAGUUCCUUUGUUUUGGCUGCUAAUCAUCAUUGAUGAGCAGCAGCUUAAGGCAGAGUCGAGCAGACUUAAUGAGCCACGCUAGGUGGCCGCCAAAACCCAAAACACAACCGGUCUAUUUGACAUUGUUAUUUCAUUGUAUGUGUUGAAAAUGUACAAAUCUUGGCGGUGGAUCACUCGGUUCGUGGAUCGAUGAAGAACGCAGCCAGCUGCGAUAAAUAGUGCGAAUUGCAGACACAUUGAGCACUAAGAAUUCGAACGCACAUUGCGCUAUCGGGUUCAUUCCCGAUGGCACGUCUGGCUGAGGGUCGAAUUACGGUGAACUGUCUUCACGGUUUUUCUGGACUGUGAAGCAUUCGGCAAGCAAUUGCUGUUGUGUUGUUGGUGAUUCUAUCAUGGACAAUAUGACGAGCGGUUCCUUGCUUAGUGAUGACAAAAGAAGACGUCAACACCGAAUCUACUAUACUACUAAUACUAGUAUAUAGGUGAGGUGCUUUUGGUGGUCACAAAAGUGACAAGUAUGCCAUUUCAUAGGGGCAACAACCAGCAUACGUGAUAAGUUGGCUGGUUGAUGAAACGGCAACGGAAUGACGGACGUCUAUGUGAUCAAAAAUGAUACUAUUUGACCUCAGCUCAGUCGUGAUUACCCGCUGAAUUUAAGCAUAUAAUUA